UCUAGAGGUUAAAUCUAUCUGCCUGUGGCCC
rnacentral:piRNA from 1 species